rnacentral:lncRNA from 1 species
UCUAUUUCUCUCUCUACCUCCAGCCUCCAGUGCAGAGGGUUCAGUCUUUUGGAACUUGAAUUAAUCUUGCUGUUUCAUCUUGAAGCUCGCGCAUGUGUGCAUGUCUUUUAAAUCUUCUGAAACUGUGUUCAGCCGUACUUCCCGAGAGCUCACUUAGCAAUGCAAAUGCAUUAUAGAAUCAAUGGGGAACAGGAAGAAGACAAACAGAAAACUGUUGUAACUAUCUUCAUGCUUUCUUUUCCAAGAGGACAGCUGCUGACAAGAGACAGGGUUCCUGUAGAACAGUCAUCCUUCUAUCUGGCCUUCGACAGCUCAGAGAAGACAGCAAUUAAGCCAAAGUGAAAGGUUGGGCUUAUGGACACCUGGAGUUCUGUCUAAUACAGCAUCAAGAUGCAGCUGGAACAUAUAACCAGACCUAAAUGUUCCAGUCCUGGCUUACUAACUUUGAUGUCUCAGUGACCUGAAUCAACAAGCAGCUUUAAGACGGCCACAUGGAU